rnacentral:rRNA from 1 species
CUAGCCGUAAACGAUGGGCACUAAGUAGGGGAGGUUCUGACGCCUUCCCUGCCGGAGCUAAUGUAUUAAGUGCCCCGCCUGGGGAGUAUGGUCGCAAGGCUAAAACUCAAAGGAAUUGACGGGGGCUCACACAAGCGGUGGAGCAUGUGGUUUAAUUCGAAGCAACGCGCAGAACCUUACCUGGGCUUGACAUGCUUAGUGUAGCUUGGUGAAAGCCGAGCGAACCGGGUAACCGGAAACUUUGCACAGGUGC